rnacentral:lncRNA from 1 species
AGAAGUACUACGCUAAAAGAAAUCGAAGUGUCGAGCCAUUUGUUUAAGUGUAAAUUUAAAUAAUAUGAAAAAAAACGAAAAUAAUAAAUAAAUUGAUAAAAAAAAAGAACAACAUUGAAGUGUCGAGCCAUUUGUUUAAGUGGAAAUUUAAAUAAUAUUAAAAAAAACAACAAUAAAUAAAUUAACAAAAAAAAUAAAAAAAA